rnacentral:rRNA from 1 species
CCUACGGGAGGCAGCAGUGAGGAAUAUUGGUCAAUGGACGCAAGUCUGAACCAGCCAUGCCGCGUGCAGGAAGACGGCUCUAUGAGUUGUAAACUGCUUUUGUACGAGGGUAAACGCAGAUACGCGUAUCUGUCUGAAAGUAUCGUACGAAUAAGGAUCGGCUAACUCCGUGCCAGCAGCCGCGGUAAUACGGAGGAUUCCAGCGUUAUCCGGAUUUAUUGGGUUUAAAGGGUGCGUAGGCGGUCGGAUAAGUUAGGGGUGAAAUUCCGAGGCUCAACUUCGGAAUUGCCUCUGAUACUGUUCGGCUAGAGAGUAGUUGCGGUAGGCGGAAUGUAUGGUGUAGCGGUGAAAUGCUUAGAGAUCAUACAGAACACCGAUUGCGAAGGCAGCUUACCAAGCUACUUCUGACGUUGAGGCACGAAAGCGUGGGGAGCAAACAGGAUUAGAUACCCUUGUAGUC